rnacentral:lncRNA from 1 species
AGAGUACAAGGGGAAACUUACAGCAAAAUUUUCACUGUUGAUAGCUUUCCUGGGGAAGACAACACAUGCACAAAUCCUGGUGUUAGGAAUAUUUUAAGCAUAUAUCUGCAAUAUUAUUCAUCCAGGACUGAAGUAAGUCCUGAUGCAGGAAAUGAGUGAGUUUCACAGCUUUCUGAGCCCCUACUUGACCCAGGAAGCCCAGCUGGCACCUCCUCUCAGUUCCACAUUUACAGUUUUGGAGGCUAGAAGUAAAGAAGUCAAGGUGUUGUAAGGGGAGUGCUGUCACUAAAACAGGUUAUUUGAUAAUUAUCAAGCACUGUUCCAAGAAUGAGGAUUUCAGUAUUAGGAAUUCAGGAGCAGUUUGGUUUGACAGUUCUGAUUCUAGGAUUUUCAUGAGGUUGGCGUCAGAUCUCAGCUGGAGCUGCAGGCAUCUGAUGGUUUGAAGUUGGAGGAUCCAUCCCCAAGGUACCUCACCAAAAGAUUGUCAAGUACGAAGAUAUAGAAAGAAGGUAGCCUCCUGUGAGAAAGAAGGCCCCCCCUAGAGCCUGGCCAUGCUGGCACCAUGAUCUCAGAUUUCCC